CAGUACUGGGGGCAGGAGGGGGGAGUAUGACGUAGGGUGGGAGCAUUAGGCGGAAUGAUUGGGCGUAGAGAGCGUGGAGGCGGUUUGUGGCGGCGGUCGGGAAAGUCCGGGGCUUAACCCCGGGUCGGCGGUGGGUACGGUCGGACUAGAGUGCAGUAGGGGAGACUGGAAUGCCGGGUGUAGCGGUGGAAUGCGCAGAUAUCAGGAGGAACACCGAUGGCGAAGGCAGGUCUCUGGGCUGUAACUGACGCUGAGGAGCGAAAGCAUGGGGAGCGAACAGGAUUAGAUACCCGAGUAGUC
rnacentral:rRNA from 1 species